rnacentral:lncRNA from 1 species
AUAAUACCAUUCGUUUACAGUUUCAAAUUACUACAUCCACAAAAUAUAUACCAAACUAUCCAUAUAUGCAUCUCAAAUUCACCCGAAACAAACUAUCCUGCAACAAGGUAUGCCAAAGUUGAAGCUUGAAAAGAACAUUUGGUAGUUCAUGAAAACAAGAAACCACCUUCUCAGCUACAUCUCCGCCCUUAGUUUCCCUACUCAACUGCAAUCAGCCAAAGAAGAGAAUCAGAAAACAAGAAAUUUAUUGAAGCUGAACCUAAGAAGAGAAACCAUUAAUAAAGAAAGAGGUGUACGUAAUCAGUUGAGCAUCAAAGGAUAAACUGAGGAAUCUGUCACUAAACUUUGCCUAAAGAUAAUUUUAGUGAUGUUCAACAUGCCUUGAUAUGUCUAAUUAAUGAACACAAAGGGUCACAGAAAUAAUAGUAAGAUUUCAUUACGAGUAGUCACUCAUGUGCAUAUGC